rnacentral:rRNA from 1 species
AUUGAACGCUGGCGGCAGGCCUAACACAUGCAAGUCGAGCGAGCGGCGGACGGGUGAGUAAUGUCUGGGAAACUGCCCGAUGGAGGGGGAUAACUCCUGGAAACGGUAGCUAAUACCGCAUACCAUCGGAUGUGCCCCGAUGGGAUUAGCUAGUAGGUGGGGUAACGGCUCACCUAGGCGACGAUCCCUAGCUGGUCUGAGAGGAUGACCAGCCACACUGGGACUGAGACACGGUCCAGACUCCUACGGGAGGCAGCAGUGGGGAAUAUUGCACAAUGGGCGCAAGCCUGAUGCAGCCAUGCCGCGUGUAUGAAGAAGGCCUUCGGGUUGUAAAGGACUUUCAGCGGGGAGGCGUUACCCGCAGAAGAAGCACCGGCUAACUCCGUGCCAGCAGCCGCGGUAAUAC